UACAGAGGUCCCAAGCGUUGUUCGGAUUCAUUGGGCGUAAAGGGUGCGUAGGCGGCGCGGUAAGUCGGGUGUGAAAUCUCGGAGCUUAACUCCGAAACUGCAUUCGAUACUGGCGUGCUUGAGGACUGGAGAGGAGACUGGAAUUCAUGGUGUAGCAGUGAAAUGCGUAGAGAUCAUGAGGAAGACCAGUGGCGAAGGCGGGUCUCUGGACAGUUCCUGACACUGAGACACGAAGGCCAGGGGAGCAAACGGG
rnacentral:rRNA from 1 species